CUCGUACCGCGACCCCAGGUCAGGCGGGGCCACCCGCC
rnacentral:rRNA from 3 species